CCCAAAAAAACCCUCGUCACCUCUAUUAAUAAUACCUGUAGCCGAGUCGCCAUUGUGCAGGUCGUUUCCAGCUGACGAGUGAAAUUUAGACAUACUAGUACGUACGUCGCACUCUUCGUUGGAAUGUGUACAGUGUAGCCACCAGCCAGUAUGCAGGACACAGAGCUUCAUUCGGCUGCUAAGGUUGGAGGUAUAGCGAGGUUACAGCAUCUGCUGACUGCCGGACAGUGCAAUAUCAAUGGCCAGGACUGGCUAAGGAAGACACCACUUCACUUGGCUGCAGUUAACGGCCACACGCAAUGUGUCCAGCUUCUCCUCCAACACGGGGCGAAUACCAGUAUACAGG